rnacentral:rRNA from 1 species
CAGUAGCCACGGGAAUACGUAGGUGGCAAGCGUUGUCCGGAAUUAUUGGGCGUAAAGGGCUCGCAGGCGGUUUCUUAAGUCUGAUGUGAAAGCCCCCGGCUCAACCGGGGAGGGUCAUUGGAAACUGGGAAACUUGAGUGCAGAAGAGGAGAGUGGAAUUCCACGUGUAGCGGUGAAAUGCGUAGAGAUGUGGAGGAACACCAGUGGCGAAGGCGACUCUCUGGUCUGUAACUGGCGCUGAGGAGCGAAAGCGUGGGGAGCGAACAGGAUUAGAUACCCCUGUAGUCCCUGUCUCUUAUAC